rnacentral:rRNA from 1 species
GAUCAUGGCUCAGGACGAACGCUGGCGGCGUGCUUAACACAUGCAAGUCGAACGAGAAUCUACUGAAAGAGUUUUCGUACAAUGGAAGUAGAGGAAAGUGGCGGACGGGUGAGUAACGCGUGAGGAACCUGCCUUGAAGAGGGGGACAACAGUUGGAAACGACUGCUAAUACCGCAUGAUGCAUAAGGGUCGCAUGAUUCUUAUGCCAAAGAUUUAUCGCUUCAAGAUGGCCUCGCG